GACGAACGCUGGCGGCAUGCCUAAUACAUGCAAGUCGAGCGGGGUGUUUUUGAAAGCUUGCUUUCAAAAACACUUAGCGGCGGACGGGUGAGUAACACGUAGGCAACCUGCCUUAUAGUCUGGGAUAACUUCCGGAAACGGAUGCUAAUACCGGAUACAUCAUCUUUUGGCAUCGGAGGAUGAGGAAAGACGGCGCAAGCUGUCCCUAGAAGAUGGGCCUGCGGCGCAUUAGCUAGUUGGUGGGGAAAUGGCUCACCAAGGCGACGAUGCGUAGCCGACCUGAGAGGGUGAACGGCCACACUGGGCCUCCCCCUCGGCCCAGACUCCUACGGGAGGCACCCCUCUCUCGUCUUCCACAAUGGGCGAAAGCCUUCUUUCCCCAUGCCGCGUGAGUGAUGAAGGUUUUCGCCUCCUCCUCCUCUCUUCCCAGGGCCUCCCUUCCUCUUUCUUCCCUUCCCCCGGAGUGACGGUCCCUUCUCCUCCCCCCCCGGCUAACUACGUGCCAGCCGCCGCUGUAACCC
rnacentral:rRNA from 1 species